GACGAACCGUGCGAACGUUGUUCGGAAUCACUGGGCGUAAAGCGUGCGUAGGCGGCGUGUUAAGUGUGAUGUUAAAUCGUGGGGCUCAACCCUGUCGGUGCAUCACAUACUGGCAUGCUAGAGGAAGGCAGAGGCAAGUGGAAUUUGUAGUGUAGCAGUGAAAUGCGUAGAUAUCGAGAGGAACACCUGCGGCGAAGGCGGGUUGCUGGGCUGACACUGACGCUGAUGCGCGAAAGCCAGGGGAGCGAACGGG
rnacentral:rRNA from 1 species